rnacentral:lncRNA from 1 species
AGACUGCUGUGCUAGCAAUCAGCGAGACUCCGUGGGCGUAGGACCCUCCGAGCCAGGUGCGGGAUAUAAUCUCGUGGUGCGACGCUUUUUAAGCCCUUCAGAAAAGCGCAGUGUUCGGGUGGGAGUGACCCGAUUUUCCAGGUGCCGCCCGUCACCCCUUUCUUUGACUCAGAAAGGGAACUCCCUGACCCCUUGCGCUUCCCAAGUGAGGCAAUGCCUCGCCCUGCUUCGGCUCGCGCACGGUGCGCGCACCCGCUGACCUGCACCCACUGUCUGGCACUCCUUAGUGAGAUGAACCCGGUACCUCAGAUGGAAAUGCAGAAAUCACCCGUCUUCUGCGUCGCUCACGCUGGGAGCUGUAGACCGGAGCUGUUCCUAUUCGGCCAUCUUGGCUCCUCCUGUAACAAUUUCUUGAGAUGAAGAUCCUGAAUACCAAAGAGGGCCGCUGACAGGUCUAGGAGUACACUUCUAGCACCUAGCAGAGAGAGGCUUCACUACAUCAUGCUUCCUGACAUCUCUCCCUUUGAAGAGCAGUCAGACUCCUGCUUUGCUCUUCAGACUUAAUUUGGGGGUUUAACAGGUGAGGUUGCUGGGGGAACUCUUUUACAACAUCUCUCUGAAAGAAUCCGGGCUGCCAGUUUCAUUUGGUUUGGGUGUCAGUAGCAUGAUGGAAAGACAAAAAAACACAACUUGACAUCUGCAGAAAUGGGUUCAAAUUUUACCUGCAACUCACCAAUUCUGUGGCCUUGGUUCAGCAAUUAAACUCCCUAAAAUUCAGUUUUUUCUUUGUAAAAUGGGGUUAUGAACAGUACCUACUUCAAAAUGUGUUUGUGAAGAUUAAAAAAGUUAACAUAAAGAGU